CGUGUUCUUUCCUUUCUCUCACUCUUAUUUUAUAUUUAUGCUAUUUCAUUGAGGACAAUGUAUGUUUUAAGUGUGGGGGAGGGAACCAUUUAUUUCUUUUGUUUUGUUUAUUUUGUUUUUCAGUUUUUCUCUAUUUUUGGUUUUUAGUUGCUAAAUUAAAAAAAAAUGCAUCUUCUUGAAAGUUUUAGGCUAUAGACUGACUAAUUUGAGAUUAGUUUGCGGAGACUUGGGAAAAAUUCACAAGAUCGAUAUCGUCUUAACACCGCAAGUCUCCUGCAUAUGGAAAUUGAUUCAAAUUCUUAUUAGGCAACGUAUUUGAAAAUAAAUGUUGGCUAAGAUAUUCAUAUUAGACAUCGCUUUAUUAUAUGAGUGUUGUUAUAUGUUUUUAAAAAAAAUAUAUUUUUAAAAAAAUAUUAAACAUCACUUUUGUUUUAGACAGCGUUUAAAAUGAAAAAGCGUUGUUUUAAGUUAUACAUUAGGCAAAGCUUUAUUUAAGAAAGCAUUUGGCUUAAAUGGUACAUUAGAC
rnacentral:lncRNA from 1 species